rnacentral:rRNA from 1 species
AACGUAGGAGGCGAGCGUUAUCCGGAUUUACUGGGUGUAAAGCGCGUGCAGGCGGUUCUGCAAGUGGGACGUGAAAGCGCCCGGCUCAACCGGGCGAGGCCGUUCCGAACUGCGGGACUGGAGGCAGGUAGAGGCGUGUGGAAUUCCGAGUGUAGAGGUGAAAUUCGUAGAUAUUCGGAAGAACACCAGUGGCGAAGGCGACUCACUGGACAAGUAUUGACGCUGAGGUACGAAAGCGUGGGGAGCAAAC